rnacentral:rRNA from 1 species
UGGGGAAUCUUGCGCAAUGGGGGAAACCCUGACGCAGCGACGCCGCGUGCGGGAUGAAGGUCUUCGGAUCGUAAAGUUCUGUUGCAGGGGAAGAUAAUGACGGUACCCUGUGAGGAAGCCCCGGCUAACUACGUGCCAGCAGCCGCGGUAAUACGUAGGGGGCUAGCGUUAUCCGGAUUUACUGGGCGUAAAGGGUGCGUAGGUGGUCUUUCAAGUCGGUGGUUAAAGGCUACGGCUCAACCGUAGUUAGCCUCCGAAACUGGAAGACUUGAGUGCAGGAGAGGAAAGUGGAAUUCCCAGUGUAGCGGUGAAAUGCGUAGAUAUUGGGAGGAACACCAGUAGCGAAGGCGGCUUUCUGGACUGCAACUGACACUGAGGCACGAAAGCGUGGGUAGCAAACAGG